rnacentral:rRNA from 1 species
GAGUGAAGCGGCAACAGCUCAAAUUUGAAAUCUGGCUCCUUUGGGGUCCGAGUUGUAAUUUGCAGAGGGUGCUUUGGCGUUGGCGGCGGUCUAAGUUCCUUGGAACAGGACAUCACAGAGGGUGAGAAUCCCGUACGUGGUCGCCUGCCUUCGCCGUGUAAAGCCCCUUCGACGAGUCGAGUUGUUUGGGAAUGCAGCUCUAAAUGGGAGGUAAAUUUCUUCUAAAGCUAAAUACCGGCCAGAGACCGAUAGCGCACAAGUAGAGUGAUCGAAAGAUGAAAAGCACUUUGGAAAGAGAGUCAAACAGCACGUGAAAUUGUUAAAAGGGAAGCGCUUGCAGCCAGACUUGCCUGUAGUUGCUCACCCGGGCUUUUGCCCGGGGCACUCUUCUGCAGGCAGGCCAGCAUCAGUUUGGGCGGUCGGACAAAGGCCUCUGACACGUACUUCCUCUCGGGGAUGACAUAUAGGGGAGGCGUAAUGCGACCAGCCUGGACUGAGGUCCGCGCAUCUGCUAGGAUGCUGGCGUAAUGGCUGUAAGCGGCCCGUCUUGAAACACGGACCAAGGAGUCUAACAUCUAUGCGAGUGUUUGGGUGUCAAGCCCGAGCGCGUAAUGAAAGUGAACGGAGGUGGGAACCCCUCGGGGCGCACCAUCGACCGAUCCUGAUGUCUUCGGAUGGAUUUGAGUAAGAGCAUAGCUGUUGGGACCCGAAAGAUGGUGAACUAUGCUUGAAUAGGGUGAAGCCAGAGGAAACUCUGGUGGAGGCUCGCAGCGGUUCUGACGUGCAAAUCGAUCGUCAAAUUUGGG